rnacentral:rRNA from 1 species
UACAGAGGUCUCAAGCGUUGUUCGGAUUCAUUGGGCGUAAAGGGUGCGUAGGCGGCGCGGUAAGUCGGGUGUGAAAUCUCGGAGCUUAACUCCGAAACUGCAUUCGAUACUGCCGUGCUUGAGGACUGGAGAGGAGACUGGAAUUUACGGUGUAGCGGUGAAAUGCGUAGAUAUCGGAAGGAACAUCAGUGGCGAAAGCGGCUUCCUGGACCAGUACCGACGUUCAGGCGCGAAAGCGUGGGGAGCAAACAGG